rnacentral:ncRNA from 1 species
AUCCGUUGGGGUGCCGCAAGGCUGAGAAGCACAAGCUGACCCAUCGAACCUGAACCGGAUAAUGCCGGCGAAGGAAACGG